rnacentral:rRNA from 1 species
GACGAACGCUGGCGGCGUGCCUAAUACAUGCAAGUAGAACGCUGAAGGAGGAGCUUGCUCUUCUGGAUGAGUUGCGAACGGGUGAGUAACGCGUAGGUAACCUGCCUGGUAGCGGGGGAUAACUAUUGGAAACGAUAGCUAAUACCGCAUAAGAGUAGAUGUUGCAUGACAUUUGCUUAAAAGGUGCAAUUGCAUCACUACCAGAUGGACCUGCGUUGUAUUAGCUAGUUGGUGGGGUAACGGCUCACCAAGGCGACGAUACAUAGCCGACCUGAGAGGGUGGUCGGCCACACUGGGACUGAGACACGGCCCAAACUCCUACGGGAGGCAGCAGUAGGGAAUCUUCGGCAAUGGACGGAAGUCUGACCGAGCAACGCCGCGUGAGUGAAGAAGGUUUUCGGAUCGUAAAGCUCUGUUGUAAGAGAAGAACGAGUGUGAGAGUGGAAAGUUCACACUGUGACGGUAUCUUACCAGAAAGGGACGGCUAACUACGUG